rnacentral:rRNA from 1 species
CAAUAGCGUAUAUUAAAGUUGUUGCGGUUAAAAAGCUCGUAGUUGGAUUUCUGCCGAGGACGACCGGUCCGCCCUCUGGGUGAGUAUCUGGCUCGGCCUGGGCAUCUUCUUGGAGAACGUAGCUGCACUUGACUGUGUGGUGCGGUAUCCAGGACUUUUACUUUGAGGAAAUUAGAGUGUUUCAAGCAGGCUUACGCCUUGAAUACAUUAGCAUGGAAUAAUAAGAUAGGACCUCGGUUCUAUUUUGUUGGUUUCUAGAGCUGAGGUAAUGAUUAAUAGGGAUAGUUGGGGGCAUUCGUAUUUAACCGUCAGAGGUGAAAUUCUUGGAUUUGUUAAAGACGGACUACUGCGAAAGCAUUUGCCAAGGAUGUUUUCAUUGA